rnacentral:rRNA from 1 species
CCACGCCGUAAACGGUGGGCGCUAGUUGUGCGAACCUUCCACGGUUUGUGCGACGCAGCUAACGCAUUAAGCGCCCCGCCUGGGGAGUACGAUCGCAAGAUUAAAACUCAAAGGAAUUGACGGGGCCCCGCACAAGCAGCGGAGCAUGCGGCUUAAUUCGACGCAACGCGAAGAACCUUACCAAGGCUUGACAUAUACAGGAAUACGGCAGAGAUGUCGUAGCCGCAAGGUCUGUAUACAGGUGGUGCAUGGUUGUCGUCAGCUCGUGUCGUGAGAUGUUGGGUUAAGUCCCGCAACGAGCGCAACCCUCGUUCUGUGUUGCCAGCAUUUAGUUGGGGACUCACAGGAGACUGCCGGGGUUGACUCGGAGGAAGGUGGGGAUGACGUCAAAUCAUCAUGCCCCUUAUGUCUUGGGCUGCACGCAUGCUACAAUGGCUGGUACAAACGGCUGCAAUACCGCAAGGUGGAGCGAAUCCGAGAAAGCCAGUCUCAGUUCGGAUUGGGGUCUGCAACUCGACCCCAUGAAGUCGGAGUUGCUAGUAAUCGUAGAUCAGCAACGCUACGGUGAAUACGUUCCCGGGGCUUGUACACACCGCCCGUCACAUCACGAAAGUCGGUAACACCCAAAGUCAGUGGCCCAACC